rnacentral:rRNA from 1 species
AUACGUAGGUGGCAAGCGUUAUCCGGAUUUACUGGGUGUAAAGGGCGUGUAGGCGGGACUGCAAGUCAGAUGUGAAAUUCCAGGGCUCAACCCUGGAACUGCAUUUGAAACUGUAGUUCUUGAGUGAUGGAGAGGCAGGCGGGAAUCCGUGUGUAGCGGUGAAAUGCGUAGAUAUUCGGAGGAAAACCAGUUGGCAAGGCGGGCCGCUUGACAAUAACCGACGCUGAGGCGCGAAAGCCUGGGGAGCAAACAGGAAUAGAUACCCUGGUAGUCCCCGCUGUAAACGAUUGAUACUAAGUGUGGGGGGACUGACCCCUUCCGUGCCGCAGUUAACACAAUAAGUAUCCCACCUGGGGAGUACGAUCGCAAGGUUGAAACUCAAAGGAAUUGACGGGG